CCAUCAUUGUUUAAUGAAAAGUGACGUCCCUCCUCCUUUUUAUUUUACUUGAAUUCAGUCUUGUGGCGUCAUUCUUGUCGAACGUGAAAUCAACGAAAUUUGAUUUUAUUUAAUCACAAGACAAAAUUGGCUCAAAUUCUCUUUUCUUUUGUUUCAGUCUGUGAUAUUAUAGAGGAUUGAGUAGAAAGAUGGCGUCCAAUGAAAGUUGAAUUAUAGCUUGAGCCAUUGCGAGAGAGGAACCCUAAUGAUAAUGAAUCCAAUCCUCUGCUUCAUCAACAUCAACAUGUUGUGGACGUGCCUUCGAAUGAGAUAAAGCAUGAAGAAGAUGUCGAAGUUGGUUCCUUACCUUGCUGUAGAAUUUGUCUUGAAUGUGAUGGCGAAGAUGACGAUGAAUUGAUAUCUCCUUGCAUGUGCAAAGGCACCCAACAAUUUGUGCAUCGCUCUUGCCUUGAUCAUUGGAGAUCUGUUAAAGAAGGCUUCGCAUUUUCGCAUUGCACAACAUGUAAGGCUCAGUUUGAUCUGCAAGUGGCCAAGUUAGGGGACGAAAAUUGGCGCAAAAUCAAAUUCAGGCUUUUUGUGGCUAGAGAUGUUUUUCUUGUAUUUUUGGCCAUUCAAACUGUAAGUAGAAUAUUUUAUGUCUCUUUCAAGUGUUCCGAUGAUAUAAUUGCAUUUUAAGACCUGUUA